GUAGGAGGCAAGCGUUGUCCGGAAUUACUGGGUGUAAAGCGCGUGUAGGCGGCAGGCCAAGUCUGUGGUGAAAUCGCUCGGCUCAACUGGGCGGGGUCCAUGGAAACUGGUCAGCUGGAGGACGGUAGAGGUGAGUGGAAUUCCCGGUGUAGUGGUGAAAUGCGUAGAGAUCGGGAGGAACACCCGUGGCGAAGGCGGCUCACUGGGCCGGUCCUGACGCUGAGACGCGAAGGCGUGGGGAGCGAACGGGAUUAGAUACCCCGGUAGUCCACGCAGUAAACGAUGCAUACUAGGUGUGGGGGGUACCGAGCCCCUCCGUGCCGCAGCUAACGCAGUAAGUAUGCCACCUGGGGAGUACGGCCGCAAGGCUG
rnacentral:rRNA from 1 species